rnacentral:lncRNA from 1 species
GGAAAUCUUUUUAUGUUUAAAGUGUCAUAUUUGAGCAUGUACAUAUACAUUGAGCAUAUCGCAUAGUAGGGUUACUCAUGAGUUUUUAUUGCAUUUUGUUGGUUCAAAUGCAUGUGGAAUAUCGUAUGAUAAUUGAAAAUUUAUAAACCCUAUGUAUGCAUGUUGAAGAACAAGAACCUAGUGGACUUAGAAAAACAAUUGUGACAUUGGACUUGACCAUAGUGAGUGGCAUUGACGAGUCUUGAACACUUAGAAAACAAGUGUGGUAUCAAUGACAAAGAACAAGAACAAGUAGUGUACAUGACAAUAGUAGAGGUUAGAGAAUGCAAGUAAAUUGGGUUAGUGACAUUAUGACAUAUUCCUUAGAGUUAAGGGUCAUAUGAACGCGGUUCUCCUUGAAGUCAAGGAAUGGAUUGAACUUGGAAUCCUUAAAGUUAAGGAUUGAUCGUACUCACCUAAUAGUCCUUGCUCGAGGGCGGUAGGUCCCCCUCGGGCGAUGUGCUCCGGAGUUGUCAUCACUGGGUCGUAGCGGCUAUCUCCCCAGAGAGCGGUCCCGUCGGGUCGUAGCGGUUAUCUCCCCGAUAAUAGGGAUUUGGGUUGGUGAGUUUGUGAGGGCGAAACCUACUGGCUAGUCAUGAGAUUGGGUAAUGAAAAGUUAAUCUUGCAUUCAUCAUGAGCAUUCUAUUGAGCAUAGUUUUACUUAUCGUUCAGGCAUAUUAGCUGCAUUUGUUAGUUGGUUAUUAUCUAUUCUUUCUUCUAUUAUGCCUGAUUAGACCUAGUGGGAUAGUCGGCGUGGUUGGUUGCCGAACCCACUGGAAACUUUGUUGUAGUUCUCACCCUACUAUUUCCACAGAGCCGGGACCGAGCGAGCUGGCGGAUGAUCGCGGUAAGGGCAUC